UGGACAGAUAACGAUGGCCCAGAGAGAGUUAGUUGAGGACAGGAACGGCGAUGGAAGUGGGCAACUGCCCGAGUGCUGCACCGUUCUCCCUCAUCAACCUUUAAGCUUCGCCAGCACCGUUAGAUGCCCUCAGGAACCAGUGAGGCAUCCAUUGUCGACAAAAUCAUUCCUCCCAAUAAACAAAGUCCCAACUUGAUCGGCCCCCAUUGAUGUGGGUCGGAAAGAGAAGUUCCCACUGAUUGGGGCUUCUCUCUCCGCGUGGAGCGCCGCCGUGGGCAGGUAGCUAUGAGUGGCUCCCGGAAAAGAGAAGGGCGGCGGCGAGGAAUCAUGUGCCAGCAAAAGGCCGGAUACCCACCGCUCGCCGGGAAAGAAAGCAUGCAUUAGACAGAGCAUAGCGGCGGCUGGCAAACCUUAGCUGACGACGACCUUAUGAGGUCGUGUCGUCAGCGGUGGACUCUCACUCUGCUCAGCGAAGAUCUGCACGGCGCCGCCAGGCUCUCGGCUAAGCCGACCGCUUCUCCAUUCCCCCCUGGGCCGAGUCUACUUCCCUUACCUCAGAGGAGAAAUAGAAACUCCUUUUCUCUACUAAAUUCCCCUCCCACGGCGGCCGCCGCAACAGCUCGCCGCCGGUAAGGUCCAGGUGGCCACCCGGGUUACGCCAUUCACGAGCCUGCAUCUUGCCUCUUUCUCCGUGCACCGAGAAGUCCCCCCCCCCCCCGUAUCACGUGUGGAUCCAGAGAACAAUCGUCACUCAUCCUCCCCCGCCCAUCGGUCAUGGAGAACUGCCGUCCGUCGCUGUAUCCUACUAAACCUGCGUGCCGUCGCCAAUCGGCAAGACGCAGCGAGUGGUCCUAUCGGCCCCGCCGGGCUUCCCCCUCUGACUACCAGCGACUGGAUCUGCCCGGCGCUUUGGCUUAAGGUUGGUUCGUUCGGCCUCCAAGAAAGCCCAUGUCCACGCAAGAGCGAGCUUGGGGUUAGGUCGCCGCCCUAACCAGCCCACGAAGAGGACGCUUCACCGGCGCAGCCUCGCUCAAACGACUAAAAUCAGGUAAUAAACCAUCACCCUCCGCCGGCGGCGACUGUUACCGGAGAGGAAGACGACGAUAAGACCAGACCUGAUCCAAUACGACGCCUUUAUCGUCAUCGUCUCUCACCCGUGAGAAGCAGACAGGCUCGACUCUGAGUCGGGUUGUCUUCGAUUUCCGCGGACAUCGCCCUGUGGACCUCAGCUGUCCGCAUUGCGUCGGAAGCGUCGCCUUCCCCGAUCAUGAUCUUACAUCGCUGCUUCGCGGAUUAAGUAACCUCCCGUAGGAGAGGACAGUGGCUACGUAGAGAGGGCGGUGAUGACACCGGCGGUGAACCGCAUCCUGCCUAUUUUAAUUUUUAACAUCAUUGGAGAUAAGGUAAAAUUAGGAAAAUAAUAGGGGUGGAAUCUGGAGAGGAGUUGAUUUCGUUUUUGAAAAAGGUGAGUAAAGUGGAGAUGGCAAAACAAGCCCGAUGUCAGCGUAGUCCGGUGCUAUUUUCCCAAAGCGUCGAAAUUCCUCAGUAUAUGCUCAAUAUUGCAGCAACGGAGGACGACCGACGAGCACCGCGCCUGCGCCGCCCCCAGUCCUCGCCAGCGCCGCCGCGGUGAGAGCGCACGAGGGACGGGAGAGAGGGGCGAGUAUCUUCUCCAGGCUUCGGGUUCCACUCUCUCUCGCCCUCCCUUCCUCCCUCCCUCCCUCCCUCCCUCCCUCCUUCUCUCUCUCUCUCUCUCUCUAGAGUCUCCCUUUCGUGCCAUUGUUGUGAGGUCCCCAUCUUCCCGUUGCCCUUCUUCUCCCAGUCCACCGGCUAGGAUCCCAAGCAGCUGAGGGGGAUCCGGUGCUCCGAGGCGUAAUGUGACCUCUCGCCGCCGGGAGGGACAAUUGCGACAGUGGCGACAGUGUCAGGGGGGG
rnacentral:lncRNA from 1 species